GUUGUGGAAAUACUCAUGGCCAAUCACUCCUAAUAUGGCAGCAUAAUCUGCAUCAGAAGCAGUCUCCGGAGAUGCCAAGACAAGUUUUGAAUUGAAAAUAUUCAGACUCUUGUUUUCCAUGGCUCCCAUGUUGAAAUCUGGAACAGCCACAAUGUUGAAGAGAUCCAGAUCAUAUUCUAAUCCAAAGACAUCUUCAUCCCAUUUCAUAGCUGCCUUCAAAGAAUACAUGGCAUGCUCAGUCUUGGGUAAGUCUUCAGCUGGAGUCCAUAUCUUCAAGGAGAUUUUCCUACCCGAACGAGUAAUAAAAACAUCGUCUCUGCUAACCAACUUGCCAGCUACUAAAGCAAACAAGUAGCAGGGUUUCUUAAAGGGAUCCUCCCAAAGGGCAUAAUGUUUUCCACCCUCUAAAUCACCCUGAUCUAUAAGAUUUCCAUUAGACAGCAGCACUGGGUACAGUGACUUAUCGGCUUCUAUGCGACAUGUGUACUUUGCCAUUAUAUCUGGACGGUCCUGGUAAAAUGUGAUCUUCCGGAAACCUUCAGCUUCACAUUGUGUGCAGAAAUUUCCAGUUGAUUUAUAAAGUCCCUCUAAAGAUGUGUUGUUCUGAGGACAUAUCUCAUUGACAAUUUCCAAAGUAAAAGAACCAGUUGGCGGUGAUAGGAUUGUCAAAUGGCGGGAGUCCAGAACGUAAUCUUCCUCCUUGAGGUCCUCACUGUUAAUCUUGAUUGAAAUCAACUGCACAUCAUCACCAUUCAAAACCAGAGGAAAUUUAGAUCCUUCAACUCUAGGGAACACUGUUAUUCUUGAAUUGACAAUUGUUUUCUCCUCACCCAACAAAAAUUUCAAAUCGACCGUGUCAAAAUA
rnacentral:misc_RNA from 1 species